GCGCCGAAGUCUUUGAUUUUUAAGCAGAGGAUUGAAAAUCCUCGUGUCGGUGGUUCGAUUCCGCCUCUGGGCACCA
rnacentral:tRNA from 1 species